AGCAGCCGCGGUAAUUCCAGCUCCAAUAGCGUAUAUUAAAGUUGUUGCAGUUAAAAAGCUCGUAGUUGAAUUUCGGGGUCAGUAGGUCGGUCGUGCCACUGGUAUGAACUGGUUUUACUGAUUCCUCCCUCUUGAAGAACUGUAAUGCCAUUAAUUUGGUGUUGCAGGGAAUCAGGACUGUUACUUUGAAAAAUUAGAGUGUUUAAAGCAGGCUUUAGCUUGAAUACAUUAGCAUGGAAUAAUGAAAUAGGACGUUUGAUCCUAUUUUGUUGGUUUCUAGGAUUGACGUAAUGAUUAAUAGGGAUA
rnacentral:rRNA from 1 species